ensembl:lncRNA
UGCAAACAAGGAUAAAGUAAGUAAAACACUCAUUGUUGUUUUUCCUUACCAGUUUGAAUUUAAAGAAAUUAUAGUUUUCUACUUCAUAAUUCAUAUAUUAUUUGAUAUUGAAGGUGUUUAAUCAUUUGAGAAUAUCUGAAAUAUUUUUUAAACAUAAUACGUAUUUCUAAAAUUUCCAGACUUUUCUCAGACUACAAUGUCAAUGUCUGACAACAUCAAGAAACAAUCUGGGAUGGAGAAUGAGGAGAAGAAAAAGGAAAAUUCCAGCCUUGACCAGCUUGAAACUGAGAUCAGUAAACUCAGCAUAAAGGACUCAUCUGACAGAAAAGAUAUCAGAGUCAAAUUUUUGAUCAAUGUUCCAGUGGGAGUGACACCUGAAAUGAGCACAAAUGCUGAAUCACAUUGUCAGAAGUUUCUUGAUCUUCUGAAAAGUCAAGCCUUCAGGGAUGAGGAUGGGUUACGUUAUGAGGACAUUGCUGUCGUUUUUGGCCUUAAUGGAAAAGAAUCAGAUAAAGAAAUUAUAAAAACUGAGUUGAGAAAAACUGUUGAAAGUGAAAUCACUUUUAAAAAAUGGGGCUUUCUAUGGUCAGAUGAUAACAAAAUCCCAUAUCGACUAAUAAGAGAGGAAAAUAAACAAUCUGAGCACACCAAGGAAUUUGUAAGAAAUUUCAGGGAGAACAACCCUGAAGUUCCAAUCUACUUCUGCUUUUUUGAUGCAGACACAGUUGGUUUUAAUGAGGUGUUGAGUUCUUACAUAGAUGUAAUCAGUGAGCACAACUACCCAACAGUAAUGUCAACUGGUUUUCUGUUCCCUGAAGACAGUGAGUUCAGAAUACAGAGUGACCAUGACCGAGAAGUGCGCAUAAUAACAGCUGAGCACUUUCCUCUGGGCACUUACUACCCAGAGCCUAACUUCUGCGUGCUUCUACCUGAUGGAUGUGACACUCUUCCUGAGUGUUUUAAUGAUGCAGAAGAUACACAAAUGAACAUGGAAUCUCCUGUUUUGAUAAGACAAGUAAAACAACGCAAGGGUUUCUCUGCUGUGUUUGCAAACAAAAAACCAAUUAUUACAUGUGAUUCAAGACAAAAACAUAGUCACACCAAACCACGGACCUGGGCAAUUAGCGCUUAUACACACAGAGAGCUUAUAAUCACUAGUAGGUGUAAAGAAGAAUAUAUAAGAGACAGGACUAAUGCAUGUGGUAUAUAUUACUUUGCUAUAUCUUUGUUAGGGACUCUUUUAAAGUCAGAAAAGAGGGCACAAGAGAUAGAAAUGGGUGAAUAUUUUGCAGGUGAUGGUGCAGAUAAAGUAAUUCAGGCAGCUAAAGCUGUUCGAGGAUAUCUAAGCCAAAUAAAUGCAGAACAGAAUGAUGCCAGAGGUUUGGAAGAUCCACGAGAGCAAGAAGAGACAGAAGAGCAAGAAGAGCAAGAAGAGUCAGAAGAGCUAGAAGAUCCAGAAGAGCAAGAAGAGUCAGAAGAGCAAGAAGAGACAGAAGAGCAAGAAGAGACAGAAGAGUCAGAAGAACUAGAAGAGACAGAAGAGCUAGAAGAUCCAGAAGAGUCAGAAGAGCUAGAAGAUCCAGAAAGCAAGAAGAUCCAGAAGAGCAAGAAGAUCCAGAAGAGUCAGAAAUGAACUAGAAAUGCCAGAAGAACUACAACAACUAGAAGAGCUAAUAGAGCUAGAAGUGUGAUGUUAGUGGUUUGGAAGUUGACUUGAUUUUACACAGAUUGAUGUAUAAUUGAAAUGGUUUCUUUACAUGUUGUUAAUAAUGGUAUUUCUUUUAAUCAACUCACUUUAAGAAAGAAAUCCACUAAAUAAAUCUAAUUUCUAGACCA